GAAAGUUACCUUCAUAGCAAGCGGCUCCCAUUCUUGCUUCCGCUCAAAAUGUCCAAACCUAGAGGAAGGGAAUGUUAGAGGAGCGAAGGUUAGGUCUCUCCUUCCCCCCCCUCUCUCUCUCUCUCUCUCCCUCCCUCUCUCUCUCUCUCUGAAUCGAAGGAACCAUAAGGUCGGGUUGGGCUAGGGCUCGGUUGGCCUAGGUAGAUCUGGUCGGGAAUAACGGUGUGAGGUAGAGCAGACUACGGAGAUGUUGGCGUCGGGUUAGGAGGCUUUAUGGGCUCUUGGUUUUGUUGUAGAAGCCGGUGCAGAGAGGGGUCAGGAUGGAGUGAGAUUGGUGGCUUCAAGUAAGGUUUGAAUCGGAGCUUAUGACUUUUAGAGGUUGGUCGACGAAUGGGGCUAGAGGAAGCUUCAUAUAGGUACAGAUGUCGGUUAGAAGGAAGAUAUGCCAAAUUUUUGUGUGGAGGAAGUGAGACUUCAAGUGCGUGGGAGAGGAAAUGAGCGAGAGUUGGGGACAUGGGAAUGAACUGAGGGAGCAAGCUUGUUUCGUCAUUAUAUUUAAUGGCCCGAUGGAGAAGUUCUUCGCACGCGUGAGAUAGUACCCUUCGGUGCUAUUUGCAUAGAUAAGGAUAAUGUAGCAAGAGACGAAUGCGACACUGUAGCAGAAGGCGGGAUUCUUGAAGGAUUUACACAGGAUAUGGAAUGGGCAGCCGGCAGAUAAACUGGCUGUCAACUUAUGAUCCUGAGACAAAAACAAUUGGAUCAGCAAUGGAGACUUCUGCACUUACAAACGUGAUGUUUUCUCCAUAUCAGGUUCCACAUGAUGCUCACCACUUACCACCACCUUAAAUGUUUUUUAGUAUGUGUAUUCUUAUUAAAGAUUUCUGCAAUAAAUCUGUAACGCAACUGAAGAUGUAUCUACUUUGAAUUGGGGUUAUGCUGAAACACAUCUUAAUUUGUAAGAUAAUAUCAUGCCACCACCUUAGCAUUUAUAAUAUGCAUGUACUUAAAUAUUUUUUCAAUAAAUCUGUAAUACUAUUGAAGAUUUCCUUGCUUUGAA